GUCAGUGUCAGUGGAGGUUUCAUAAAAAAUUCAUAACCGUUAAAUAAAAUACCAUAUCAACAAUUUUACUGACAUGACAAAGUCAUUAUGAUGAAAGAGGAGAGGAAGUUUCAUCAUACAUGAGAGGAGUUUCAUCAUCAUGAAACCUAACAGGCACAGUUACAAGUUCUCAGCUUUGGUAACUGCGUCAUGAAAUUGUGCACUGAGAUCGGUUUAUAGAUUUUUACUAUGUACAUAAAUGUACUAUAUUAUAUCUACAUGUAUAGUAAAUAGUAUAAAAAAUCCAAAGCAACUUAUAAUUUGGAAUAGAUGAAAGUUGAUGUAGAGCUGUUUUAAACCCAAAUAAAGUUUCAAAUACGUACCAAUUCGAGAGAAUCAAUAUUCAACUCAUGUCUCCUUCUAAGGGCUUGUUUGGGACUGCUUCACUAAAAAAAUAGUUCCACUCCACCAAUCCCACCUUUUUGUAGCUCCACUCCACCAACUCCAAGAAAAUAGGAAGUAUUGACGCCGGAUUUUGACACGUGCUUGGAAUUGGCGUCAAAGGAGGAGAAAGGGGGCCGAUGCGGCGAGCUAAAGCUACAGUUGGGAAUCGACCGAUUAAGGCUACAGUGUUUCAGCCGACUGGCAAAAGGAGUUGGUAGAGGUUAGCCGAUUGGGAGCCAGAGCGACUUGGUUAGUAUGAGCCCAAAGGUGGGCCAGGAUGAAGAUCAGCUGAAGAGAGAGAUUGGCCCGUGGGAAGGUAGUAACCGACUUUGAUACGAGUUGUGUUUGUAAAUGUUUGUUAUCGUUUAAAAUUAGAGACAGAUCCUAGUCAGUUAGGAAAUUAGUUGUAAUAGGGUAUAAAUAGCUGCCUCGUGAGACUUGUAAAAAUCAUCACACAAUCAAUACAGUAACUUUUUCCUCGUACCUUACUUUCAAGUCGGCGACUUCGCCAAAACCUUUCUUUUUCACGAGUUCGUACGGGUUGGUAGGGCUGCAUUGACACGAUCUCCGGCCAAUUCUAUAAGUUCUGCUUAUCGAGUAAUAUCUAAGCUUUAACUUCGGGCGCAUCGUUGUCGUUUCGUUUAGAU
rnacentral:lncRNA from 1 species